UACGGAGGGGGCUAGCGUUGUUCGGAAUUACUGGGCGUAAAGCGCACGUAGGCGGCUUUGUAAGUCAGAUGUGAAAGCCCCGGGCUCAACCUGGGAACUGCGUUUGAAACUACAAGGCUAGAGUAUGGCAGAGGGGGGUAGAAUUCCACGUGUAGCAGUGAAAUGCGUAGAGAUGUGGAGGAAUACCAAUGGCGAAGGCAGCCCCCUGGGUCAAUACUGACGCUCAUGCACGAAAGCGUGGGGAGCAAACAGG
rnacentral:rRNA from 1 species